rnacentral:rRNA from 1 species
UACGUAGGGUGCGAGCGUUGUCCGGAAUUAUUGGGCGUAAAGGGCUCGUAGGCGGUUUGUCGCGUCGGGAGUGAAAACUCAGGGCUUAACCCUGAGCCUGCUUCCGAUACGGGCAGACUAGAGGUAUGCAGGGGAGAAUGGAAUUCCCGGUGUAGCGGUGAAAUGCGCAGAUAUCGGGAGGAACACCGGUGGCGAAGGCGGUUCUCUGGGCCUGACCUGACGCUGAGGAGCGAAAGCGUGGGGAGCGAACAGG